rnacentral:rRNA from 1 species
CGGACGGGUGAGUAAUGUCUGGGAAACUGCCUGAUGGAGGGGGGUAACUACUGGAAACGGUAGCUAAUACCGCAUAACGUCGCAAGACCAAAGAGGGGACCUUCGGGCCUCUUGCCAUCGGAUGUGCCCAGAUGGGAUUAGCUAGUAGGUGGGGUAACGGCUCACCUAGGCGACGAUCCCUAGCUGGUCUGAGAGGAUGACCAGCCACACUGGAACUGAGACACGGUCCAG